rfam:Pan troglodytes isolate Yerkes chimp pedigree #C0471 (Clint) chromosome 12, whole genome shotgun sequence.
GCUGGGCAUGGUGGCGCAUGCCUGUAAUCCCAGCUCCUUAGGAGACUGAGGCACGAGAAUCGCUUGAACCCAGGAGGUGGAGGUUGCAGUGAGCCGAGAUCGUGGCACUGCACUCCAGCCUGGGUGACAGAGUGAGACCCUGCCUCAG